rnacentral:rRNA from 1 species
GACAGAGGAUGCAAGCGUUAUCCGGAAUGAUUGGGCGUAAAGCGUCUGUAGGUGGCUUUUUAAGUCCGCCGUCAAAUCCCAGGGCUCAACCCUGGACAGGCGGUGGAAACUACCAAGCUGGAGUACGGUAGGGGCAGAGGGAAUUUCCGGUGGAGCGGUGAAAUGCGUAGAGAUCGGAAAGAACACCAGUGGCGAAGGCGGCUCACUGGCCCGAUACUGACGCUGAGGCACGAAAGCGUGGGGGAGCAAACAGG